GACUCAUUCCACAAAGUUGAGUAAGCUGAUGGUGAAAAAUAUUUAGAUGUUGCAAAUGAAGCAAGCGGCAAGUUAGAUAAUACAGCUGAGCCAUGGGUGUCUAGUAUGAGAAGCAAGAAGAGACAGGCAAGAAGCAACUGACAUAGGAAAUAUGUGCCAAUUAUGUUACAAAGAAAGAAAAAAGUCAAGUGAUUAAAAUAAAUGCUUUGGUGGUUGUAAUCAUAGAAAUUAUUUGAGCCAGUUGAUAUGUCUGCUACAAACAAGUGACAAGGGGGACCACCCUUCAAAAUGGAGAAAGGAACUUUUCACGUAAACCUUGAGAAAAGAUCAUUAGCUCAUCCUUGAAGCAUGAGAGAAGGCUUGCAUGUCUGGCAUGAACUGUAUGUGUUUAGUACAGUAAGGAAAUCAGGUUAGGUCAGCUAUCUCAAUGACAAUAGAGGGGAGGGGUGUAGGUUUAGUGCUGGUUAGAAUAAGUAGUAACUAGAACUUGACUCAGAGAUGACAUCAUAGAACUUGCUUUGUUAGAUUAUGCUUUCCGCUACACAAAGAAGAGAAGGAGACAGAGUUCAAGGGUCAUUGAAGUCUCUGGGGAGAAGGUUGUGUUGGUUUGAAAAGAAUGAUAAUGGCAACAGAAAGUGAUUGGCAGAAUUCCUUCAAUAGCUUCAGAGAAGGAAAUAAUCUUGGGUGUGGCUACAGAGAACCCCAGACUUAGAGGGCUUGGGUUUAGCAAGAGGAAUAUCAAAGAAGGCAUUUUGAGAAGAUGGCAC